rnacentral:rRNA from 1 species
ACGGAAGGCAGCAGUGAGGAAUAUUGGUCAAUGGACGGAAGUCUGAACCAGCCAAGUCGCGUGCGGGAUGAAUGCCCUACGGGUCGUAAACCGCUUUUGUACGGGGAUAAAGUCACCCACGUGUGGGUGUUUGUAGGUACCGUAAGAAUAAGGAUCGGCUAACUCCGUGCCAGCAGCCGCGGUAAUACGGAGGAUCCGAGCGUUAUCCGGAUUUAUUGGGUUUAAAGGGUGCGCAGGCGGGCUGCUAAGUCACCGGUGAAGUGUCAGGGCUCAACCUGGGCACUGCCGGAGAUACUGGCGGCCUUGAGAGUGGAGGAGGUAGCCGGAAUGUGUGGUGUAGCAGUGAAAUGCAUAGAUAUCACACAGAACACCGAUUGCGAAGGCAGGAGACGAUACCAUAUCUGACGCUGAGGCACGAAAGCGUGGGGAUCGAACAGGAUUAGAUACCCUGGUA